rnacentral:rRNA from 1 species
GAAUGCUGACAUAAGUAACGAUAAAGCGGGUGAAAAGCCCGCUCGCCGGAAGACCAAGGGUUCCUGUCCAACGUUAAUCGGGGCAGGGUGAGUCGACCCCUAAGGCGAGGCCGAAAGGCGUAGUCGAUGGGAAACAGGUUAAUAUUCCUGUACUUGGUGUUACUGCGAAGGGGGGACGGAGAAGGCUAUGUUGGCCGGGCGACGGUUGUCCCGGUUUAAGCGUGUAGGCUGGUUUUCCAGGCAAAUCCGGAAAAUCAAGGCUGAGGCGUGAUGACGAGGCACUACGGUGCUGAAGCGACAAAUGCCCUGCUUCCAGGAAAAGCCUCUAAGCAUCAGGUAACAUCAAAUCGUACCCCAAACCGACACAGGUGGU